rnacentral:rRNA from 1 species
GGUUUGAUUCUGGCUCAGAUUGAACGCUGGCGGGAUGCUUUACAACAUGCAAGUCGAACGGCAGCACGGACUUCGGUCUGGUGGCGAGUGGCGAACGGGUGAGCACGUAUCGGAACGUGCCUAGUAGCGGGGGAUAACUACGCGAAAGCGUAGCUAAUACCGCAUACGCCCUUCGGGGGAAAGCGGGGGACCUUCGGGCCUCGCACUAUUAGAGCGGCCGAUAUCGGAUUAGCUAGUUGGUGGGGUAACGGCUCACUAAGGCGACGAUCCGUAGCUGGUUUGAGAGGACGACCAGCCACACUGGGACUGGAGAUACGGCCCAGACUCCUACGGGAGGCAGCAGUGGGGAAUUUUGGACAAUGGGGGAAACCCUGAUGCCAUCCCGCGUGUGCGAUGAAGGCUCUCGGGUUGUAAGCACUUUGGCAGGAAAAGAAACGGCACGGGAUAACACUCGUGCAACUGACGGUACCUGCAGAAUAAGCACCGCCAACCACGUGCCAGCAGCCGCGGUAAUACGUAGGUGCAAGCGUUAAUCGGAACUACAUUGGGCGUAAAAGCGUGCGCAGGCGGUUCGGAAAGAAAGAUGUGAAAUCCCAGAGCUUAACUUUGGAACUGCAUUUUUAACUACCGAGCUAGAGUGUGUCAGAGGGAGGUGGAAUUCGCGUAGCAGUGAAAUGCGUAGAUAUGCGGAGGAACACCGAUGGCGAAGGCAGCUCCUGGGAUAACACUGACGCUCAUGCACGAAAGCGUGGGGAGCAAACAGGAUUAGAUACCCUGGUAGUCCACGCCCUAAACGAUGUCAACUAGCUGUUGGGGCCUUUCGGGCCUGCAGCGUGCAGCUAACGCGUGAAGUUGACCGCCUGGGGAGUACGGUCGCAAGAUUAAAACUCAAAGGAAUUGACGGGGACCCGCACAAGCGGUGGAUGAUGUGGAUUAAUUCGAUGCAACGCGAAAAACCUUACUCUACCCUUGACAUGUCUGGAAUCCUGAAGAGAUUUGGGAGUGCUCGCAAGAGAACCGGAACACAGGUGCUGCAUGGCUGUCGUCAGCUCGUGUCGUGAGAUGUUGGGUUAAGUCCUGCAACGAGCGCAACCUUGUCAUUAGUUGCUACGAAAGGGCACUCUAAUGAGACUGCCGGUGACAAACCGAGGAAGGUGGGGAUGACGUCAAGUCCUCAUGGCCCUUAUGGGUAGGGCUUCACACGUCAUACAAUGGUCGAUACAGAGGGUCGCCAACCCGCGAGGGGGAGCCAAUCCCAGAAACCCGAUCGUAGUCCGGAUCGCAGUCUGCAACUCGACUGCGUGAAGUCGGAAUCGCUAGUAAUCGAUCAGCAUGUCGCGGUGAAUACGUUCCUGUGUCUUUGCAGGCCACACACCGCCCGUCACACCAUGGGAGUGGGUUUUACCAGAAGUAGUUAGCCUAACCGUAAGGAGGGCGAUUACCACGGUAGAUUCAUGACUGGGGUGAAGUCGUAACAAGGUAG